AGGGUUUAGGGUUUUAAGGGUUUAGGGUUAGGGUUUAGGAGGGUUUGAGGUUUAGUGUUUAGGGUUUAGGAUUUAUGAGGCCUUGGGGUUUAGGUUUUACUGUUUAGGGUUUAAGGUUUAGAGUUUAGGGUUUUAAGAAUUUAGAGUUUCAAAGUUUAGUUUAGUAUUCAGGGUUAGGAUUUGGGGUUUAGGAUUUAGGUUUUAAGAUUUUAGGAUUUAGGGAUUAGGGUUUAGUAAAUAGGGGUAUAGGAGGCCAUCUUUUUUUUGUUCUGGUAUAUCCUUUAUCUUCUUUUUUAUCUCCUUCUUGGUUGAUAUGA
rnacentral:lncRNA from 1 species